UGCGGAUCAUGGCAAACCUUGUGUGAGCAAGGGACGCAAAGCUGAAGGGACUAGGAUAUGAUGCAUUUACCUAGUUAGCCAGUUGCCCGC
rnacentral:ncRNA from 1 species